rnacentral:lncRNA from 1 species
UAAUUUCCCUUAAAAGUAUUAGGUUUCGAGUCAAAUAUAAGUUUCCCUUUUUUUCUUUAAUUUGUUAUUAUAACUAUACCAUGAGUAUAUGUUUCGAAUAAUAAUGGAGUCAUACAAAGUUUAGAAUCAUGAACUCCCUUAGCAUGAUAAGAUAUUAACUUUUUGGGCUUGACUUGUGAAAUUUCCUCGUAGUGUUCAGUUAAUGUUAUCAUAUUCAGUUGUAUUAGUCAUAAUCGGUGGG